AGCGAACGCUGGCGGCAGGCUUAACACAUGCAAGUCGAACGGUCCUUCGGGAUAGUGGCGGACGGGUGAGUAACACGUGGGAACGUACCCUUAGGUUCGGAACAACACAGGGAAACUUGUGCUAAUACCGGAUAAGCACUUCGGGGGAAAGAUUUAUCGCCUUUGGAGCGGCCCGCGUCUGAUUAGCUUGUUGGUGAGGUAAUGGCUCACCAAGUUUACGAUCAGUAGCUGGUCUGAGAGGAUGGCCAGCCACACUGGGACUGAGACACGGCCCAGACUCCUACGGGAGGCAGCAGUGGGGAAUCUUGCGCAAUGGGCGAAAGCCUGACGCAGCCAUGCCGCGUGGAUGAUGAAGGUCUUAGGAUUGUAAAAUCCUUUCACCGGGGACGAUAAUGACGGUACCGGGAGAAGAAGCCCCGGCUAACUUCGUGCCAGCCGCCGCGGUAA
rnacentral:rRNA from 1 species